rnacentral:misc_RNA from 1 species
AAUUCUCAAAACCCUUUCUUUGGUCUUUUGAUCAGGGGAAGGAUUUUUGGACUUGGAGGCCUUUUGCUGGUUUCACCUUGAAGCGAGCUCCUCCCAAAUGGAUUAGUGGGGUCUGCUUUGCCGAUCCUUGGCGUGAUAAGUUGUUUCUACGUCUUGGGUUUUGGCACUGUACACCUGCUUCUAACCGUCUCAUCGACAAUGAUGGUGCUCUGGUCACCGCCGAUUUCUCGGUGGGAGGCUUGACCCACAAAAUGAAC